GUAGACAAUUGAAUUCAUUAUUAACAUAUAUACAUUUUAGCAGAUUAAAGUAAUAUUUUUGAAAUAGAAAGUUUAAAAUACCAUUGAAUUUAAAGUUAUGUUAAGUGAAAUAGAAAAUCAUUGCAGUUGUGGUUAUGUCACUGUUUAUACUUGCACUAGAAGCAAACCAUAUAUAGAGUAGUAAUAUUUUAUGAAAAGAAUAUUAGAUAGAAGAAAUGUUUCCUAGUUAUCACAAAUUAAGAAAAGAAAUGUUAAAUAUAUUCAAAUGUAUGCAGUUUUUAAUAUGUACUAGCUUUAUUGAUGUACUUAUUUUACUGGGAAUCGACUAAGAGCAGAAAAAUGUAUAUAUUUGUAUGAAUUCAUUUGUAGAAAUACCAUCAUGUAUUUUAUUAUAGAAAUAGGAAGCAACUAUAUUAGACAAUAUGAGGUAAAUAUAAUAAUCUUGUUUAAAAUACAUUUAUUUUUGUGAUAUAAAACUUGAAUUUAUAUAAUAUAAUUAAUUUUUUAUAAGUUUACAUAAAUUUUUACUUUAGUUACCGACUGGUAGAGAGAAUAUGUAUCGCCAUCUAGACGAAAGACAACUCAUCUCUAGGACAAAUUCAAGAUGGCCACCUGUCAUUGUAUACUGCAACGUGCAAUAAAUUAUCGCCAAUUCACUGUAAGAAGAAACCCAUUGGACUUGAUGUUUGAUAUCUUGUGAAGAAAAAAAACUAUUGGACUUGACGUUUGAUAUUUCCUUAAGAAGAAA